GUCCUCAUAUGUGCAGUAUAUAUAUUAAAAUUUGAAUGCUAUGGAGAUGAUCAGCAUCAUCCCUGUGUAAAAGAUGACAUGGGACUUCAUAAAGGUUUUAUGUUUUUU
rnacentral:snRNA from 1 species